CUCACGCACUUUCUUCCUCUUUUCUUUGAUCUUUCUACUGCUACAAAAGUACAAUUAGAAAUUGCGUUGUAAAUGUAAAGAAAUAUCAUAUGAGCGCAAAGAUUCAACUGUAUUGUUUGUACAAGUAAACUUACGUCCAAAGGAAGAAAGGACAUGAACAUUUACCUUUUCUCGGAAUAUUGCCUUUGUCGUAAGUGAAGCAUUGAGAAGGCAUUGGAACACUUUUAUUUCUACAGCAAAAGAGGAGCUUCGCUGGGUGUUAUUCCAACUGCCAACAAUAUCAAUAGGGCCUAGGAUGAGCACGAGCGAGGCUUGAGAGGGUCCAAUAUUGUGCACAGGUAAGCUCCAACCAUUGAAAAUACUGAAACUUGUAACAAUGGCCUGAGUGGAAGCUCAUUGAAGAGUCUCAUCAGCAAUGCUACCGAUAAGAAAAAGGCGAUGGAAUUAAACAUAAUGAUCAACCAGUUUGAAUAGAAAUAAUAUUGAUUUUCAGUCUGGCUGACAGCAUCAUUUAUGCUAGAAUUGUAUUCAUAGCUUUCUUCCACUCUGUAUCCUUGGAUCUUUAAGGCUGUGUGGAGCGUUAUAGAUGCCAACAAUGAGGAGAUGAGCAAUAACUGAUGGUAAACAUUGCUUUUGGACUCUUUUUUAUUUUUCAUGUGGCAACUGUUCUGGUGCAACCAAGAAAAUGCUUUCUUAAAUAAAUCUUUAGCUCUCAAAGGUCUCUUCCUCUGUGGACUCUUGUUAGUUUCCGAAUCUUUCUUCACGCAAACGGGUAAGACAAGAGAGGUUUCCAAAUCUGUGAAGCCACCGGCAUCCAUGGCGUUCUCGGGUCUGGAGUUGUUGGGAGUAUGAGGAAAUUUUCUUUUGGCACCCCAAUUACAGGAAGGCGCAGCUAUAGAUAGAGAAAUAAUCAAGAAGAAAACAGGUAGAAUAAUGUAGCCAGGAAAUUUCCAUGAGCUUUAUCAUAAAGAAACUAAGCUUCUCAGAUACUUCCUCAAAAGUUUUCAUAAGCAAGCAAGACUAAAUGUGAUUGCUAGAUAUUGUUAGGAAAAGAUACACAAGAAAUGAUGUAACACU